CCUACGGGAGGCAGCAGUCGAGAGGCUUCGGCAAUGGGGGAAACCCUGACGCAGCGACGCCGCGUGGGUGAUGAAGGCCUUCGGGUCGUAAAGCCCUGUCGUAGGGGAAGAACUGGUUGCAGGCUAAUAUCCUGCAGCCUUGACGGUACCCUAUAAGAAAGCACCGGCUAACUCCGUGCCAGCAGCCGCGGUAAU
rnacentral:rRNA from 1 species